GACGAACGCUGGCGGCGUGCUUAACACAUGCAAGUCGAACGGAAAGGCCCUGCUUUUGUGGGGUGCUCGAGUGGCGAACGGGUGAGUAACACGUGAGUAACCUGCCCUUGACUUUGGGAUAACUUCAGGAAACUGGGGCUAAUACCGGAUAGGAGCUCCUGCUGCAUGGUGGGGGUUGGAAAGUUUCGGCGGUUGGGGAUGGACUCGCGGCUUAUCAGCUUGUUGGUGGGUAGUGGCUUACCAAGGCUUUGACGGGUAGCCGGCCUGAGAGGGUGACCGGCCACAUUGGGACUGAGAUACGGCCCAGACUCAUACGGGAGGCAGCAGUGGGGAAUAUUGCACAAUGGGCGGAAGCCUGAUGCAGCAACGCCGCGUGCGGGAUGACGGCCUUCGGGUUGUAAACCGCUUUCGCCUGUGACGAAGCGUGAGUGACGGUAAUGGGUAAAGAAGCACCGGCUAACUACGUG
rnacentral:rRNA from 1 species